rnacentral:rRNA from 1 species
CUACGUGCCAGCAGCCGCGGUAAUACGGAAGGUCCAGGCGUUAUCCGGAUUUAUUGGGUUUAAAGGGAGCGUAGGCCGGAGAUUAAGUGUGUUGUGAAAUGUAGACGCUCAACGUCUGACUUGCAGCGCAUACUGGUUUCCUUGAGUACGCACAACGUUGGCGGAAUUCGUCGUGUAGCGGUGAAAUGCUUAGAUAUCACGAAGAACUCCGAUUGCGAAGGCAGCUUACUGUAGCGCAACUGACGCUGAUGCUCGAAAGCGUGGGUAUCGAACAGGAUUAGAUACCCUGGUAGUCCACGCGGUAAACGAUGGAUGCUCGUUGUUGGCCCUUAUGGUCAGUGACCAAGCGAAAGCGUUAAGCAUCCCACCUGGGGAGUACGCCGGCAACGGUGAAACUCAAAGGAAUUGACGGGGGCCCGCACAAGCGGAGGAACAUGUGGUUUAAUUCGAUGAUACGCGAGGAACCUUACCCGGGCUUGA